GGUUAAGUGACUAAGCGUACACGGUGGAUGCCUUGGCAGUCAGAGGCGAUGAAAGACGUAGUAACUUGCGAUAAGCCCAGAUUAGGUAGUAACAACCAUUUGAGUCUGGGAUUUCUGAAUGGGGAAACCCACUUACAUAAGUAAGUAUCAUUAACUGAAUACAUAGGUUAAUGAGGCGAACCGGGGGAACUGAAACAUCUAAGUACCCCGAGGAAAAGAAAUCAACCGAGAUUCCGAAAGUAGCGGCGAGCGAAAUUGGACUAGCCCUUAAGCUUUACACGCGUUAGACGAACGGUCUGGAAAGUCCGACGAUACAGGGUGAUAGUCCCGUAGUUGACGACGUGUGUUCAGUGAAAUCGAGUAGGGCGGGACACGUGAUAUCCUGUCUGAAUAUGGGGGGACCAUCCUCCAAGGCUAAAUACUACUGACUGACCGAUAGUGAACCAGUACCGUGAGGGAAAGGCGAAAAGAACCCCUGUGAGGGGAGUGAAAUAGAACCUGAAACCGUGUACGUACAAGCAGUAGGAGCAGGCUUUGUCCUGUGACUGCGUACCUUUUGUAUAAUGGGUCAGCGACUUAUAUUCAGUGGCAAGGUUAACCAUCUAGGGGAGCCGUAGGGAAACCGAGUCUUAACUGGGCGUUCAGUCUCUGGAUAUAGACCCGAAACCAGGUGAUCUAGCCAUGGGCAGGUUGAAGGUUGAGUAACAUCAACUGGAGGACCGAACCGACUAAUGUUGAAAAAUUAGCGGAUGACUUGUGGCUAGGGGUGAAAGGCCAAUCAAACCUGGAGAUAGCUGGUUCUCCCCGAAAGCUAUUUAGGUAGCGCCUCGGACGAAUACUACUGGGGGUAGAGCACUGUUAAGGCUAGGGGGUCAUCCCGACUUACCAACCCUUUGCAAACUCCGAAUACCAGUAAGUACUAUCCGGGAGACACACGGCGGGUGCUAACGUCCGUCGUGGAGAGGGAAACAACCCAGACCGCCAGCUAAGGUCCCAAAUUACUACUAAGUGGGAAACGAUGUGGGAAGGCUCAGACAGCCAGGAUGUUGGCUUAGAAGCAGCCAUCAUUUAAAGAAAGCGUAAUAGCUCACUGGUCGAGUCGGCCUGCGCGGAAGAUGUAACGGGGCUAAGUAGUAAACCGAAGCUGCGGCAAUACUCUUUGAGUAUUGGGUAGGGGAGCGUUCUGUAAGCGGUUGAAGGUGUGUGGUAACGCAUGCUGGACGUAUCAGAAGUGCGAAUGCUGACAUGAGUAACGAUAAAGGGGGUGAAAAACCUCCUCGCCGGAAGACCAAGGGUUCCUGUCCAACGUUAAUCGGGGCAGGGUAAGUCGACCCCUAAGGCGAGGCCGAAAGGCGUAGUCGAUGGGAAACGGGUUAAUAUUCCCGUACUUCUUACAAUUGCGAUGGGGGGACGGAGAAGGCUAGGUGGGCCUGGCGACGGUUGUCCAGGUUCAAGUGCGUAGGCUUAAGAGUUAGGUAAAUCCGGCUCUUUUUAAGGCUGAGACACGACGUCGAGCACCUACGGGUGUGAAGUCAUUGAUGCCAUGCUUCCAGGAAAAGCCUCUAAGCUUCAGAUUGUAAGGAAUCGUACCCCAAACCGACACAGGUGGUCGGGUAGAGAAUACCAAGGCGCUUGAGAGAACUCGGGUGAAGGAACUAGGCAAAAUGGUACCGUAACUUCGGGAGAAGGUACGCUCUUGAUGGUGAAGUCCCUUGCGGAUGGAGCUGACGAGAGUCGCAGAUACCAGGUGGCUGCAACUGUUUAUUAAAAACACAGCACUGUGCAAAAUCGUAAGAUGACGUAUACGGUGUGACGCCUGCCCGGUGCCGGAAGGUUAAUUGAUGGGGUUAGACUUCGGUCGAAGCUCUUGAUCGAAGCCCCGGUAAACGGCGGCCGUAACUAUAACGGUCCUAAGGUAGCGAAAUUCCUUGUCGGGUAAGUUCCGACCUGCACGAAUGGCGUAAUGAUGGCCACGCUGUCUCCACCCGAGACUCAGUGAAAUUGAAAUCGCUGUGAAGAUGCAGUGUACCCGCGGCUAGACGGAAAGACCCCGUGAACCUUUACUACAGCUUGGCACUGAACAUUGACCCUACAUGUGUAGGAUAGGUGGGAGGCUUUGAAGCACGUACGCCAGUAUGUGUGGAGCCGUCCUUGAAAUACCACCCUUGUAGUGUUGAUGUUCUAACGUCGACCCCUUAUCGGGGUUGCGGACAGUGCCUGGUGGGUAGUUUGACUGGGGCGGUCUCCUCCCAAAGAGUAACGGAGGAGCACGAAGGUGGGCUAAUCACGGUUGGACAUCGUGAGGUUAGUGCAAUGGCAUAAGCCCGCUUGACUGCGAGAAUGACAAUUCGAGCAGGUGCGAAAGCAGGUCAUAGUGAUCCGGUGGUUCUGAAUGGAAGGGCCAUCGCUCAACGGAUAAAAGGUACUCCGGGGAUAACAGGCUGAUACCGCCCAAGAGUUCAUAUCGACGGCGGUGUUUGGCACCUCGAUGUCGGCUCAUCACAUCCUGGGGCUGAAGUCGGUCCCAAGGGUAUGGCUGUUCGCCAUUUAAAGUGGUACGCGAGCUGGGUUUAGAACGUCGUGAGACAGUUCGGUCCCUAUCUGCCGUGGGCGUUGGAAGAUUGAAGGGGGCUGCUCCUAGUACGAGAGGACCGGAGUGGACGAACCUCUGGUGUUCGGGUUGUGUCGCCAGACGCAUUGCCCGGUAGCUAAGUUCGGAAUCGAUAACCGCUGAAAGCAUCUAAGCGGGAAGCGAGCCCUGAGAUGAGUCUUCCCUGAUACUUUAAGUAUCCUAAAGGGUUGUCGGAGACUACGACGUUGAUAGGUCAGGUGUGUAAGUGCUGUGAGGCAUUGAGCUAACUGAUACUAAUUGCCCGUGAGGCUUAACCAU
rnacentral:rRNA from 1 species